rnacentral:rRNA from 1 species
UACGUGGGGGGCUAGCGUUGUCCGGAAUCAUUGGGCGUAAAGCGCGCGUAGGCGGCCCGGUAAGUCCGCUGUGAAAGUCCAGGGCUCAACCCUGGAAAGCCGGUGGAUACUGCCGGGCUAGAGUCCGGAAGAGGCGAGUGGAAUUCCUGGUGUAGCGGUGGAAUGCGUAGAUAUCGAGAGGAACACCUGCGGCGAAGGCGGGUUGCUGGGCUGACACUGACGCUGAGGCGCGAAAGCUAGGGGAGCGAACGGG